rnacentral:lncRNA from 1 species
UCCUGUGGCUGCAGAACAAGCCCAAUUCAUCACCGCUUCGCCACCCUGCUUGACAGUUGGUACGAGGUGUUUGUGCUGAUAUGCUGUGCUUGGUUUUGGCCAAAUGUGGUGCUGUGCAUUUUGGCCAAACAACUCCACUUUGGUCUUGUCUGUCCAAAGGACAUUGUUCCAGAAGUCUUGUAGUUUCUUCAGAUGCAACUUUGUAAACUAUGCUGCCAUGUUCUUGUUAGAGAGAAGAGACUUUCUCCUGACAGCCCUUCCAAACAACCAACUGUAUACUGGUUCAGUCUUUUUCUAGUUGUACUGUCAUGAGCUGUAGCACUGAUGCUAAAUGAGGCCUGUAGAUCCUGUGAUGGAACUCUUGGGUUUCUUGCAAUUCUUCUGAAAAUUGCACUGUCUGACCUUGGGGUGAAUUUGCUGGGACGUCCACUCCUGGGAAGAUUGGGAACUGUCUUGAAUGUUUUCCGCUUUUGAAUAAUCUUUCUUACUGUAGAAUAAUGCACGUUAAAUUGGGUAGAGAUGGUCUUAUAACCCUUCCCAGUUUCAUGGGCAGCAACAAUUGCUUCUUUAAGAGCAUUGCUGAAGUCUUUCCUCCUUGGCAUUGUGUUAAAACACAUCUGAAUGCGCCAUCAAACUGCUAAAAUUUUGACUUUUGUAGAGAUAGUCACAAUUGCUGAUGAUCAAUUAACCAACACCUGUCUGCUACUUCAUAAUGAUCCUGCCUCAUAAUGAUCCUUGUUUUAUUUAUUUUCUCAUAAAUAGAUCACAAUUUACAUUUAUAGCACUGCAUAUAACAGUGUGACUUGCCAUCAAACCACCUAGGAGUUCAGUGUCAAACAGUUUUCAGUUCAUCACCUAAGCCAUAUGUUAGCAACUGGACCACAUAAUAGCAUAAAUUCCUUCCAGCAUUAUUUACUGUUUUUCCUUGCAAGAGUGCACCCAAACCUUUAACAGGUUUCAUUUGGGAAUCUGUUGUAUCUAUUUGAAGAUUGCAUUCAGUUACUCAACACUUCCUUAUUUGAUCUGUAAGCCAGUGCACUAUUGUGAUCAAAAUGACUACUUCGUAAGUAGUCCUGACAUGUUAGAACCUUGUUAAAAAGAAAGUUGAUGAAUGUUCAUAUUCAACUGAUGAAGUAGGAGAUGCAUUUUAAUUCAUUAAAUGUAUAAUAAUUUCAAAAAAGUUAUUUAAAUACUAAAUGCAAAGUGCCAAAAGCCUUUCACAUACAGGUCAUUCCAUAUCAAGUGAUCCUACUUUUUUACCCCAUGUCAUCCUACUUUCUUAACAUUUUGUAUAUUUGUUGAAUGAUCAAAACUAAGUUUAAAUCUAAAAUUUUACAGUUACAACAAAAUACUGUACAUAGCAAACAAAAUUAUGACAUCACUGGAACUCUUUAACUGGUGCCAAGAUAACACUCCUUCUACCGGGUUGUCAUUUUCAACAAAUGAGGAGUGCAGAAAAGAACAUUCCUAAAACAACUCUUUGAAACAGUGAAAUCAAUCAAGGGAAUACAAGGAUUUCAUUGCUUUGUUCCAUCUACAUCCAGUCCAACAGAAAUUGUGACCAAAGUGUACUCCUUUAGCAAUGAGACUGAGAAGUUCGACAUUGAAGGAGGUACAAAAUCUCUGGAUAUGGCUGAGAUAACUAGGUAUGUAACCUGUGAAUACAAUAAAAAAUGGUGGUUGACCUGUGUGCCGUCGGUGGACUAUGAAAGUGAAGACGUAACUCUGCCCUUCUGACACUUGCCGGGCUCAGUGUCAUAAUUUGCUUACACAUCUAGUUGGGAUGUUCUUAAGGUAAGGCGAGCAGAAGUUCUAACACCGGUCAAACCAAGGACUGCAACUGGCCACACUUACACUUUGACAAAAAAUGAAACAUCAUGUGCAACAAAUUCUAUUGACAAGUGUUUGGUAUAAAGUAUAAUUAAUGGAAGAAUAAAUGUUUUAGACCCGUUUGAUGUGUAAGGUUUUUUCCAUAAUUUUGUUUGAUAUGUAUUUUGUUGUAAUGUUCAUGAAAUGAAGUACUAACAGGGAUGCUUUCAAAGUGUUAAUUCUAUCAUGCAACAGCAAGUUACCACUCUGCUGUGGAACACAUUUUAAAAAUAAAAGCCUCACUAGCUUUUCAGAUACUGUUUAAUUGAAUAACUUUUUGAAGAAAUGCCUGAAGUAACUGAUAUUAUACUUUGAAGUCUUGUUUAUUCUGUUAUACUUUACCCAAAGGAAGACUCAUUUAUCCUAAAUAGAACCCAAUAAGCCCAACAUGUAUGUACAAAAUAUGUUUUUAAUGUUAUCCCAUUGAGAUACCAAGAAGUAUACCUUAGAAGUAUGAAACAAUACAAUUUGGAGAAAAUUUUUAAUCGUUUUUAAAAAUAACUUUAAAAAAUUAAAUUAUGUAACUUUAAAUUUUAAAGUGGGCCCAUCAUAUGACAUUUGAAGAGAUUGGUUUUUUAUUUUUGAAAUAUCUCAAUUCUGGGCUGAGCUUUUAAGGUUUUUGUGUAGUCUGGCAAUGUCCCCCCAAAAAUGAAAUUUGAAACCCUCAUAACUCAAAAACAGGAUGAGAUAAAAAAAUUAAAAUUUUAGAUUUAGACUUAGUCUUGAUCAUUCAACAAGUGUACAAAGUAUUAAGAAAACUGGAUGACAUGAGGUAAAAAAAAAUUGGAUCACUUGAUAGGGAAUGACCCAUACAUUACCUGCGAGUCACCCUUAAAAUGACCCUGCAAGGCAGGCAAGUAUGCUACAAAAGGUGGCUGAAGCUGAGGGAUAGUGGUUGCAUCAAGCCAUGCAAUAAUUGAUGAAAUUUAACAAGAACCAGAGACUUCCAUCUCAUACCUCUUGAUCUUAGCCAUUAGAGCUGGAGUCUUAUGUACGCAUAAUUAGGAGUAAACCUCAUUGAAUUCAGUGGGACUAAUGCUACUAAGUGCGCAUGCAGAUGGCUUUUCCCUCUAGCCCAGCAACAAGUGGCCAGCAAGAUGCCUGCAGGAGACCCCCAAGCAGAGCCUGAGUGAAAUAGAACUCCCCUGAUUGUUGCUCCCAAGAUACUGAUAUUCAGAGGCUGGGGUGACACGGUCUGAAGCUUGUACUAUGAGAGGCUAGGGAGGCAAGCAAACCAGCCAAAACAAUUCCUCUUUCUUGUUAACUUCAGCACUGCCACCAGGAAGAUAUCUUUAUUUUUCUCUGGCUGCUUCCUCUAAGUACUCGUUUAACCUUCAGGACUUUAAUUAGUCCAGUCAACCUACUCCCAACACUUGGUACAGUGUUAUGGCACUUAGACAUGGCGCAAAUAACAGGGUCUCAGACCAAUUUUUCCCAAAACCAGUUAUGCUUUUACUUAAAAUUUGGUAUGGUAACAAGUUAUUUAAAAAUGAGAAAUUGUUCUUAGAAAAAAGGUGAUUUUUCAGUUUGUGUACUUACCCAUUAUAGAAAAUAAAACAUAAUUAGAAAUUAAUCACAUUCCUUUACCUAUUCUAGAUAACCAAGCCAGUAUUUUAAUUGCAUCACUCAGUUUAGUUUCUGAAUCUCUCCAGCAUCCUGAAAGUCCUAUUCCUAUACUUCCUCUGAUCUUGCAGGUAGCAUACAGCCAUCAUGACUAAUAGGUGUCAUGCCACUUUCCUUCUGCUUUGUGGUUCUCUGACAUCACCCUCAGAUCUACCUCAACUUCACUGGACCACCUUCUCUCUAAGGUGUACAGCCCUCACCUGGGUUCCUGCUAGGUAUCUAGGAUCUCUUGAUUUUUGCUGCCACCACAGAUACAAACUAUCUGAUUCCACCUUUAGUGAGGCCAGUCAAGAAACACGUGUAUAAUACAACAACUUUAUUGAUAACAGAACUAAUAAAAGUAAUCAAAUAUUAAUUCAGCACACAGAAGCAUAUGGUUUUAGUUACGUAGUUAGAAUUUAUGUAUUUAGUUAGGGUUAGAAGUUAUUCUGAUUCAUAUAAACACUCCUACCUAUUCUACCUUUCCAAAAAUACCUAAGCUAAAUCCUCCCUCACCAUUUAUCCCAAAACUAUUACCAGUAACAACACUGACCCUAUUCCAUCUCACUAGCCCAAUAUACUCUCAACCACGUUCAGUCCCAACUAGUAUUCAAACUGCCCCUCAAAAUUCCUAUCUCGUCACCACUCACUUCCAAUGUUCCAAGCACGCUCCCUCCCUCUCCCAGCCAACACUUAGCCUAAUUCAUCUAAUCUAAUUACCUCCACAUUUAACACUACACACUAUCAGAACAUCACAGCAGCCAUUGCUGCUUGCCUCAUCUUUCAUAAAUUGGUCCGAUUUCCUUUUAAAACAAACUGAUGGCCAUCACUACUGUCUUGUACAGUAUAGCAAAUUCCAUAGUUGUAAAGUACUUUGCCCUCUGACUCUUCCAUUUUCAACUUCAUUGGAACACCCCAGGUUUUAAUAUUAUGAAAGAGUAAGGAAAAAAAUCUCUAACCACCUUCUCCACACCAUCUAUAAAUUCAUACCCUAUCACAGCUGCUACAUCACCAUUUUCAUUGAGUUACCCAUCUUGACCCCACAAUUUUUACCACCCUGAAUGAUGUGGUGUCAUUACAAACAUUGCAACUUCACUGCUCAUCUCUAAACUUCAGAUUAUUCACGUUAAAAGGUACAGGUCCCAAUACAGAUCCCUGCAGGACCUCACUUCAUACAUCUAUCCAUUGUGAGUAUGGUCCAUUUAUUCCUUUUUCUGCAUCCUUUUCUUUAACCAGUUACAGAUCCAUAAGAGAAUCUGCCAUCUUAUCUAAUGACUGUUAAGUUACUCAGAAACUCUUGAUAAGAAACUUUAUUAAAACCUUUUUGAAACUGUAGGUACAAAAUGAAUACUCCAGGGAUGGGAACACAAACUUUUAAAAUAAAGGAAAAGUUGCGUCUGGUUGCAUGCAUUAUUUAUCCCUCCCAAAAUCAAUUUAACUUUUCAUUAUCCAAAACAGUUUUUAAUCUAAAUUAAAAGAACAAAGUAUUUCAAUCAACAGACUGAAAAAGAUUGUUUCAUUUGAGCCAUGACACAUUACAGCCCAACCCCAUGAAAAAUCUUGCAGCAGUGGUCUGGUGGAGAGAAGGAAAAUGGGGUACCACCAGAACUGGAAGACAUUGACUCAGACUUUGGGGAGGGGGAGAAGUCUGCUUCAGUGCCAUCAGACACAUUGGGUGCCACAUCACAGCUGCCUCAUGAUGCCUGGGGCACCUCCCACCCCCAAAAAACCUCCUCCCAUCAAGGAGGUGCCAGCGGGCAGAUCAGACACAAAGCCAGCCCCAUGGACUCCAGCUCCAUCGCCAAGGACACAAAGAUGGCUGCACCUGCAUGAACAAACUCAGCAAACCCAGACAGUUCAAAGGAGUGCCACUUACUUGCCCAGUCCUGUUUCUUGGAGCGCCAACCAUAUUAAUGCCAGUAUCCAUUCUGCUCUUCAAAAUGAGAGUCUGGGGGACAUGGCCCAGUUUGUGCUUAGUCAGAUAUUUUAACCUCUGCUGCAAAUGCUAACCAGUGUGCUUUGUAACCUGACUUACAUCCCAUAGUGAUCUAUGCAUUAAAGCCAUCAGCAAAACCUGAGUUGAGAACAUGAGUGCUGCAUCCACCAGUGAGAGCCAGGGGGCACACAGAAAUGAGGCUCUUGAGAGUGAAAAGGGUUAGUGAGACAGGAAUUGUUUGCAGAAGCCAUGCUGAUUUUUUCCAGCAGGACAUAUUCUUCCCAUCAGUUUUCCCAGAGCAGAUUCUCGAACUGGCCUGUAAUUUUCUCAAUUCACGCACCUGAUCCAGUUUUUUAAAAAGAGUAUUAUGUUAACCUCUUCCCAGUUCUAAUCUUUUUGCCAUACUGCCCAGAACUUUGUUUCUUGUCCCUCUUAUUUGUCUCAUUUCUUCAGAUUCAGUUUCUGAUAAUGUCACUCCAGGUACCAGUAUCUAUGCUCCAUCUCCCGCAGUAAAAACAAACGGAAAUGAUUAAAUCAGCUUCUGCACAAUCACCGUUGCUUCCUUUAGCACACCUUUAACUCCACUGCUGUCCAAAGAACCAACCACUUCUCUAGCUGCUUAUGAUGUAUUUAAGCACUUUUUAAAUUGUUGGUAUUAAUAUUUUUAGUGAAAUGCAUAGCCCAUAAAUUUACAUACUGUCAUAGCAAUAAUUAAACUCACAAACUUUAAUUGCUCAGAACUUCACAGCUUUUCUUAACUGAUUGUUGGUUAUAGUAUUCAGAUAUUUCCAUAGCAGUGAAGAGUUCUGAAAAUGUUCAAAGAAAGGGACAUCUGUUAGAAGGCACUCUUCACAAAUUUUGCAGUGCUACCAAAUCAUUACUUCUUUCUUUGACUGAUAGUCUGGCUCUAGUCAGAUCUAACAGAGCUAAAUCUCCUCUAUACUGUCCAUUAUAUAUUACUAAAUCAUUAGUUAGAUGAUUCUAACAAAUUCUAAACAACUUUAGAAUUUCUCUUAAAUGUACUGUUUUCGCUUUUUUUAAACAGCACAUAAUAAUCUCUAGUUUAUUUUCUGAAUUUUGAGGCAAUGGUUGGCAAUACAUCCCUAUGCUUGGUUUGCAUAGACAAAUUGGCUUACUUUGCUUCAGUAGUUAUACCAGGAUGUCAAAUGGAGGAUUUCUACAAACAAUAUGCUGGUACCUUACAUUUCACAAUGCGCAGAUCAUAGCAGUACAUAAAAUUAAUUAAUUAAUUAAUUAGCCACCCUUAGGCAAAGAGGCUUUCUGAGUCACUUACAAAAAUCAGUACUAAGGGAGUCCCUGUCCUAAGGCUCACAAUCUAAAACAGGAGUGAGGAACAGGUCUUCACUGGCUAUUUAUAGUGGGUCCCACUACAUGAUGACUACAAAGCUUAGUAGUUUGUUAUUUAGUACAAUUCAUGCAAUUCAAGAUAACAAAAUGAAUUCCAAUAGGGAUAAAUUUAAGGUUCUCCACUUAGGCAGGAGGAACCAGACGCACAAAUAUAGGGUGGGGGACACCUGGCUUACUAGCAGUACGUGUGAAAAGGAUCUAGGGCUCCUGGUGGACCACAAGCUUAACAUGAGUCAACAGUGUGAUGCAGAAGCAAAAAAAGCUAAUGCUAUUCUAGGCUGCAUCAACAGAAGUCUAGUGUCCAGAUCAAGGGAAGUAAAAGUCCCACUCUCUUCUGCCUUGGUCAGACCACACCUGGAAUACUGUGUCCAAUUCUGGGCACCACAAUUUAAGAAGGAUGUUAACAAGCUGGAACAUGUGGAGAGGAGGGCAACCAAGAUGAUCAAGGUCUGGAAACUAAGCCUUAUGAGGAUCGGUUGAAGGAGCUGGGUAUAUUUAGCCUGGAAAAGAAGGGCUGUCACAUGGAAGGUGGAGCCAGCUUGUUUUCUCCUGCUCUGAAUGGUAGGACUCGAACCAAUGGCUCCAAGUUACAAGAAAGGAGAUUCCGACUAGACAUGUGAAAAUACUUUCCGACAAUAAGAGCUGUUUGACAGUGGAACAGUCUCCCUCGGGAGGUUGUGGACUCUCCUUCCUUGGAGGUUUUAAAGCAGAGGUUGGAUGGCCAUCUAUCAUGGAUUCUUUAGCUGAGAUUCCUGCAUUGUAGGGGGUUGGACUAGAUGACCCUUGGGUCCCUUCCAGCUCUAAAAUUCUAUGAUUCUAUCCUCUCUAUAAGGCAUUCCACUCCCCCCCCCCCCCGCUCCACAUUAGGUUUGUAUUUCUCUUUAUUCUUUGGAAUAGCAGUGUUUUAGUGUAAUCUACUUUCUCCCUAAAGCAUACCACUAUAUGUGUUUUUCUUUUCCUGGCUUGACGUCAUUUUUGUUGUUUUCUAAAUUCCUUAGAAUGACUGCUACAUUCAUGAUAUGGAAGCUUUUAUCUGGCUGGGAGGUGGAGGAGGAUUUUUACCCUGUGUGGCUGAAAUUAACUUGUCAGAAGUUUCCAACUUUAGAAGCUUUUACAGCUCAAUUGAACCAUUAUUCAAAACUGAAUGAAGAGGCUGUAGACUAUAGAAGCUCAUGAAAAUAAAUUUCACAAGAAUGCUUGUAUCUGAAGUCUUAGCUCUAUGCCAUUAAUUUAACAGCCUCUGAAAUUUGUAUGUUAUUUAGAAAUCUACAGUCCUGUCAUUAUAUUAUUGACUAUUGAGUAUAUGUGUGUUUUUAUGUAUUGCCUUUGAAACGGUCCUAAAUUUCCUGUAUGUUCACCAGCUGGUUUUGUUGUCUCCCCUGGUAUUCUGUGCAGAGUUGGGCUUUGGCUGCAAUCCACACCUUGUUUAUUCUUCAGUACUCCACCAUGGUGUUUUGGGAGAAUCUGCUAAAAUGAAGGAAGAUGACUCCCUUCAGCCAACCAACUUUCACGGCUACUGGUCAAAAUAACCUUCAACCUGAGAAGAAUUUUUGGUCUCUCCUCAAAUGACUCUUUUGGUAAUACACCAAAGCAGGGGCACCGGAUAUAUGGGGUGCAAGGGGCCAACAUCCCCCGUCACCGCCACGUGCUCCCCACAUGCCGCAGCCCCUGCGUGGGAGCCCAGGAGCCAGGAGGGGGCUGGGAUGAGUAAGGACAAAGAUCGCCCUCCAUGGGUCCUGCCCCUGCCCGGCACAUGCCAUGGGGAGAAGGAGGUCGAGGAUGGAGCCCAGCUCAGUGUGCGAGUGUUGGCAUCACGGGGGCGGGAUGCAUCCCAUGACGUCACAUGACAUGUCACGUGAUGCACCCCCAUGUGGUGGGCAAGUUGGCAUCCCUGCACCAAAGCAUGGUAGCAGUACUGCCAGUAAGCAGAAUACUAUUUUCAUUUCAAGAAGUACUGCCACAAUGGUAAUUUAAGAAUCUGCUAAAAAAGAGGAUAUUCUGGUUCCACCAAAAGUACAGUGGCUGCCAUCCUAGGCAUGCCUACCUGGGAGUAAGCUCUAGGGAACACAGGAAAAUUCUUAGCUAACAUGCAGGCACUUGGUCUUCCAGUUUCCCACCUAAGUAAAAGAGCUGACUGCUAAACCCUGAAUGAAGAAAUCCCUACUUGAAUGUAUACGUCAAAGGGGGAAUUGGCAUGAUGGCCAUUUUUAUAGUAUUUAGACACCAUUUUUCAACCCAAUGGAAGUGACUUACAAUUAAAGUUAAAAUGCAUGGUUAUAUGACAUCUCCACGUUCUGAAGCAGUUUACUGCUCAUAUAGUAAAGUCAGUGUGGUGUAGAAUGUUGGACUAGGACCUGGCAGAGCAGGAUUUGAAUCCCCACUUAGCCACGAAGCUCACUGGGUGACCUUGAACCAGUCACCAUCUCUUAGCCCAGGAGUUGUCCACCUGGUCCCUCCCACCCACUGGUGGGCGUUUCAGGAUUCUAGGUGGGUGGUAGGGGGUUCUACGGCACAAGCUGAAUCCUCCUUCCAUCGAGCACUGGGGGGCGGUAAGGAAACUUUACCAUCAAGAAAGAUGCAUUAGAAGGUGGUAGGUAUAAAAAGGUUGACUACCCCUGUCUUAGCCUAACCUACCUCACAGGGUUGGUGUGAGGAUGAAACGAGGAGGAGAACCAUGUACACCACCUUGAGAUCCUUGGAAGAUAAAGGUGGCAUAUAAAUGC